rnacentral:rRNA from 1 species
GACGAACGCUGGCGGCGUGCUUAACACAUGCAAGUCGAACGAAAAGAGGGAAAGAGCUUGCUCUUUCCGGAAUUGAGUGGCAAACGGGUGAGUAACACGUAAACAACCUGCCUUCAGGAUGGGGACAACAGACGGAAACGACUGCUAAUACCGAAUAAGUUCCAAGGGCCGCAUGGCCCAUGGAAGAAAAGGUGGCCUCUACCUGUAAGCUAUCGCCUGAAGAGGGGUUUGCGUCUGAUUAGCUGGUUGGAGGGGUAACGGCCCACCAAGGCGACGAUCAGGAGCCGGUCUGAGAGGAGGAACGGCCACACUGGAACUGAGACACGGUCCAGACUCCUACGGGAGGCAGCAGUGGGGAAUCUUCCGCAAUGGGCGAAAGCCUGACGGAGCAACGCCGCGUGAGUGAGGACGGCCUUCGGGUUGUAAAACUCUGUGAUCCGGGACGAAAAGGCAGAGUGCGAAGAACAAACUGCAUUGACGGUACCGGAAAAGCAAGCCACGGCUAACUACGUG